AGUCAAUAGAUACCCCGGUAGUCCACGCCGUAAACGAUGAGUACUAGGUGUAGGAGGUAUCGACUCCUUCUGUGCCGCAGUUAAACACAAUAAGUACUCCGCCUGGGUAGUACGGUCGCAAGAUUAAAAACUCAAAGGAAUUGACGGGGGCCCGCACAAGCAGCGGAGCAUGUGGUUUAAUUCGAAGCAACGCGAAGAACCUUACCUAGACUUGACAUCUCCUGAAUAGCGCAGAGAUGCGUGAAGCCCUUCGGGGCAGGAAGACAGGUGGUGCAUGGUUGUCGUCAGCUCGUGUCGUGAGAUGUUGGGUUAAGUCCCGCAACGAGCGCAACCCCUAUUAUUAGUUGCUACCAUUAAGUUGAGCACUCUAAUGAGACUGCCCGGGUUAACCGGGAGGAAGGCGGGGAUGACGUCAAAUCAUCAUGCCCCUUAUGUCUAGGGCUACACACGUGCUACAAUGGUGAGAACAACGAGAUGCAAUACCGCGAGGUGGAGCAAAACUUGAAAACUCAUCUCAGUUCGGAUUGUAGG
rnacentral:rRNA from 1 species